rnacentral:lncRNA from 1 species
CCCAACUAGAAAGCCAACUAGGGUACUCUCUCUCUCUCUCUCUCUCUUAUCUCUAAAUAAAAUGGCGUCGAUCGUCGCCGCCGCCGGAACCCUAGCUCCUCUCAAUAUCUCUUCCACUCCCCGUCGCUCUUACCGCCGUUCCUCGACCUCUACUUCCCUCUCCGCCGCUCCAUUCCUCCCCCAAAUCCGCUGCUCAAUCUCUCCCCAAAACCCUAAUCCCUCCCCGCAAAACCCUAAUUUCCCCGCCAAAUCUCCGUUCUCUCUAUCUCGCUCGGCUCCUCUAGCUCUCACUGCGG